CAAUAGCGUAUAUUAAAGUUGUUGCAGUUAAAAAGCUCGUAGUUGGAUUUGUGGCGUACGGUGUGUUCCGGGCACUUGUUGUCUGAGUAACCUGCUGUUGCCAUCCUUGGGUGGAACCUUUGUGGCAUUAGGUUGUCGUGCAGGGGAUGCCCAUCAUUUACUGUGAAAAAAUUAGAGUGUUCAAAGCAGGCUUAUGCCGUUGAAUAUAUUAGCAUGGAAUAAUGAGAUAGGACUUUUUUGCUAUUUUGUUGGUUUGCGCAAAGAGGUAAUGAUUAAUAGGGACAGUUGGGGGUAUUCGUAUUCCAUUGUCAGAGGUGAAAUUCUUGGAUUUUUGGAAGACGAACUACUGCGAAAGCAUUUACCAAGGAUGUUUUCAUUAA
rnacentral:rRNA from 1 species